UACGUAGGGCGCAAGCGUUGUCCGGAAUUAUUGGGCGUAAAGAGCUCGUAGGUGGUUCAGUAAGUCGAGUGUGAAACCUCCAGGCUCAACCUGGAGACGCCACCCGAUACUGCUGUGACUAGAGUCCAGUAGGGGAGCACGGAAUUCCUGGUGUAGCGGUGAAAUGCGCAGAUAUCAGGAGGAACACCAGUGGCGAAGGCGGUGCUCUGGGCUGGAACUGACACUGAGGAGCGAAAGCGUGGGUAGCAAACAGG
rnacentral:rRNA from 1 species